CUGCCCCGUCUUCCCGCCCUCCAGCCGCGUCAAACCCUGUCAGAAGAGCAGGGCGUGAGAACCACAAGCUAUGGUCGGUCCUCCUGGUGGUUUUAGAUUUAUUGACACAAGAAAGCCAGAGUUUCCUGAUGAUCUUGCUGAUGAUCGCUAUAUUCCUGGAAAUCUCUGAGAAACGGCCUGUGCUCAAAAUGACCUCACGGACGGCUGAGCUGCUGGAUGGACUGGAUCCUCCUAGAAUGGCUGAAUGACCGGAGCUGUGCCAAUCUGGAGCCAGAAGCCAGGAGCCUCUUUCGGGUCUCCCACACGGGUGCAGGGGCCCAAGGACUUGGGUCAUCUUCUACAUCUUCUACUGCUUUCCCAGGCCUCAGCAGAGAGUUGGAUUGGAAGUGGAGCAGCCAAGACUCGAACCGGUGCUCAUAUGGGAUGGCAGCACUGCAGGCGGAAGCUUUACCUGCUACGCCACACACUGGCCCCCAGGAACUCUUUGUAUAUUAUGGAAUUCACCCUUUGUCAGUAUGUAUUAUGCUACAAUGAUUUUCUCUGGUUUGUUACUUUAUUUUCAUUUAUAGAUCAUUUUGACAUGCAGAAUUUUUAUA